rnacentral:lncRNA from 1 species
AAUUAAGGGUCGGGUUUCACAAUUUUCGAAAUCUUAGAUCACUUCUAGGUAUUUAUGAAAGGUGAUAAGUUUAGGCUUAUUGUUGUUCUUGUUAUUCUAAAGGGCCGGGUUUCACAAUCUAUCUCUUGUUUUUUUAAUUCUUUACCAAAGGCGAUUGGUUCUUCGUUAGCUAAUUGUUGUUGCUACGAUUCAACUUCAAGAAUAGAAUUCUUGAAUUCAAUCUAUCUUUAAUUUCCGUCUUCUUUUUUGUUUCCUUAAUUUCAUUUCGCUUCCGCACGUUUCUUAAUUUCUCUUUAAUAAUUCU